AUUGAACGCUGGCGGCAGGCCUAACACAUGCAAGUCGAGCGAGCGGCGGACGGGUGAGUAAUGUAUGGGGACUGCCCGAUAGAGGGGGAUAACUACUGGAAACGGUGGCUAAUACCGCAUACUAUCGGAUAACCCAUAUGGGAUUAGCUAGUAGGUGGGGUAAAGGCUCACCUAGGCGACGAUCUCUAGCUGGGCUGAGAGGAUGAUCAGCCAGACUGGAGAGGAGACACGGCCCAGACGCCAAGGGGGGCAGGAGUGGGGAAUAUUGCAAAAGGGGGGCAAGCCGGAGGCAGCCAUGCCGCGGGUGUGAAGAAGGCCUUAGGGGUUUAAAGUAAUUUCAGCGGGGAGGCGUUACUCGCAGAAGAAGCACCGGCUAACUCCGUGCCAGCAGCCGCGGUAAUAC
rnacentral:rRNA from 1 species